rnacentral:rRNA from 1 species
CAGUCGAGCGGUAACAGAUCUAGCUUGCUAGAUGCUGACGAGCGGCGGACGGGUGAGUAACGCGUAGGAAUCUACCGAGUAGUGGGGGAUAGCCCAGAGAAAUUUGGAUUAAUACCGCAUACGCCCUACGGGGGAAAGGAGGGGAUCUUCGGACCUUUCGCUAUUUGAUGAGCCUGCGUAAGAUUAGCUAGUUGGUAGGGUAAAGGCCUACCAAGGCGACGAUCUUUAGCUGUUCUGAGAGGAUGAUCAGCCACACUGGGACUGAGACACGGCCCAGACUCCUACGGGAGGCAGCAGUGGGGAAUAUUGGACAAUGGGGGCAACCCUGAUCCAGCCAUGCCGCGUGUGUGAAGAAGGCCUUCGGGUUGUAAAGCACUUUCAGAUGUGAGGAAAGGUUAGUAGCUAAUAACUGCUAGCUGUGACGUUAACAUCAGAAGAAGGACCGGCUAACUCCGUGCCAGCAGCCGCGGUAAUACGGAGGGUCCGAGCGUUAAUCGGAAUUACUGGGCGUAAAGCGCGCGUAGGCGGCUAAGUCAGUCAGAUGUGAAAGCCCCGGGCUCAACCUGGGAAUUGCACCUGAUACUGCUUGGCUAGAGUACAGAAGAGGGUGGUGGAAUUUCCUGUG